rnacentral:snRNA from 1 species
CUGCUUGCUUCAGCAGCACAUAUACUAAAAUUGGAAUGAUACAAAGAAGAUCAGCAUAGCCCCAGCUCAAAGAUGAUACACAAAUUCAUGAAGCAUUCCAUAUUUUU